UACGUAGGGAGCGAGCGUUGUCCGGAUUCAUUGGGCGUAAAGCGCUUUAAGGCGGUUCGCUAAGUCACGUGUGAAAACUCCAGGCUCAACCUGGAGACGCCACGUGAUACUGGCGUGACUAGAGUUCGGUAGGGGAUCACGGAAUUCCCGGUGUAGCGGUGAAAUGCGCAGAUAUCGGGAAGAACACCCGUGGCGAAGGCGGCUCUCUGGAACGCAACUGACGCUGAGACGCGAAAGCGUGGGGAGCAAACAGG
rnacentral:rRNA from 1 species